UACGUAGGUGACAAGCGUUGUCCGGAUUUACUGGGCGUAAAGAGCGCGCAGGCGGUCGAUCAAGUCGAGUGUGAAAGCCCCCGGCUCAACUGGGGAGGGUCAUUCGAUACUGAUCGACUCGAAGGCAGGAGAGGGUAGUGGAAUUCCCGGUGUAGUGGUGAAAUGCGUAGAUAUCGGGAGGAACACCAGUGGCGAAGGCGACUACCUGGCCUGUUCUUGACGCUGAGGCGCGAAAGCCAGGGGAGCAAAGCGGGG
rnacentral:rRNA from 1 species